AAAAGGUUAAUACAUAUACUUAGUAUAUUAGAUUUCGAAUCUAAAUAAGUUUUAAUAACACCUUUUU
rnacentral:tRNA from 1 species